AACCGGGGGCGUGGCCGUCAAAACCCUCAGACACAGCUCCGUUGCCAUUGGAGACAACAUCUACGUGUAUGGAGGAAUACUGGGAGGGAAUCGAACCGACGACCUCCUGGUGUUCAACACAGUGUCUCUCUCCUGGACGCCAGUUAAAACCAGUGGAUCGCUUCCUCCUGCUCUGUGUGAUCAGAGUUUCGCUCUGGUCGGGGAUCAGCUCUUCAUGUUCGGGGG